GGAGAGGUGGCUGAGUGGUCGAAAGCAGCAUCCUGCUAAGAUGCUAGGCUCGCAAGGGCCUCGAGGGUUCGAAUCCCUCCCUCUCCGCCA
rnacentral:tRNA from 1 species